UGCAUAAUGUGUGGCCUCC
rnacentral:miRNA from 1 species